CAGCCGCCGCGGUAAUACAAAGGAUGCAAGCGUUAUCCGGAAUGAUUGGGCGUAAAGCGUCUGUAGGUGGCUUUUCAAGUCCACCGUCAAAUCCCAGGGCUCAACCCUGGACAGGCGGUGGAAACUACCAAGCUAGAGUAUGGUAGGGGCAGAGGGAAUUUCCGGUGGAGCGGUGAAAUGCGUAGAUAUUAGGAAGAACACCAGUGGCGAAGGCGACUUUCUGGACGAAAACUGACGCUGAGGCGCGAAAGCCAGGGGAGCGAACGGGAUUAGAGACCCGAGUAGUCCCUGUCUCUUAUAC
rnacentral:rRNA from 1 species